rnacentral:rRNA from 1 species
UACGGAGGGUGCAAGCGUUAUCCGGAUUCACUGGGUUUAAAGGGUGCGUAGGUGGGCAGUUAAGUCAGUGGCGAAAUCUCCGGGCUUAACCCGGAAACUGCCAUUGAUACUAUCUGUCUUGAAUAUCGUGGAGGUAAGCGGAAUAUGUCAUGUAGCGGUGAAAUGCUUAGAUAUGACAUAGAACACCAAUUGCGAAGGCAGCUUACUACCCGAAUAUUGACACUGAGGCACGAAAGCGUGGGGAUCAAACAGG